CACGUAGGAGGCGAGCGUUGUCCGGAAUCAUUGGGCGUAAAGAGCGCGCAGGCGGCUUGGCAAGUCGGGUGUGAAAUCCCGGGGCUCAACCCCGGGACUGCAUUCGAUACUGUCAGGCUAGAGGUAGGUAGGGGAGAUCGGAAUUCCUGGUGUAGCGGUGAAAUGCGCAGAUAUCAGGAGGAACACCAGUGGCGAAGGCGGUGCUCUGGGCCGGAACUGACGCUGAGGAGCGAAAGCGUGGGGAGCAAACAGG
rnacentral:rRNA from 1 species